rnacentral:lncRNA from 1 species
GUUUCUGAUUCUGUGUCUCCCUCUCUCUCUGCCUCUCCCCCGUUCAUGCUCUGUCUCUCUCUGUCCCAAAAAUAAAUAAACGUUGAAAAAAAAAUUAAAAAAAUAAAUAAAUAAAUAAAUAAAUAAAUAAAUGAAACACUAAAAAAAUUUUUUUUGAUGUGGUUUACUUGGCAGAGAGGUUCCAGGUUGCAUGUGCUCUACAUGGGAGUUCACAGAGGGAAAUAAUUACGUGGCAACAAUACAACAGCUCUCAGACCUACCAUUUCCAAGCCCAUUGUCCCUAUGCUUUUGGUGGACAUUGCGUGGAGCUGGUUUUAAAGGGGUAACACUGGCAAGAAAACCAUCAGUGUUGAGCGCCACAAUACUACAGAGCCUGUGAUUUUGUCUGCGCUAAGCCAAUGUUUUAAGAAAUAAAGGUGAAAUUCCAGCUUGGGAACA